GAUGAACGCUGGCGGCGUGCCUAAUACAUGCAAGUCGAGCGAACAGACGAGGAGCUUGCUCCUCUGACGUUAGCGGCGGACGGGUGAGUAACACGUGGAUAACCUACCUAUAAGACUGGGAUCACUUCGGGAAACCGGAGCUAAUACCGGAUAAUAUAUUCAACCGCAUGGUUCAAUAGUGAAAGACGGUUUUGCUGUCACUUAUAGAUGGAUCCGCGCCGCAUUAGCUAGUUGGGAAGGUAACGGCUUACCAAGGCAACGAUGCGUAGCCGACCUGAGAGGGUGAUCGGCCACACUGGAACUGAGACACGGUCCAGACUCCUACGGGAGGCAGCAGUAGGGAAUCUUCCGCGAUGGGCGAAAGCCUGACGGAGCAACGCCGCGUGAGUGAUGAAGGUCUUCGGAUCGUAAAACUCUGUUAUUAGGGAAGAACAAAUGUGUAAGUAACUAUGCACGUCUUGACGGUACCUAAUCAGAAAGCCACGGCUAACUACGUG
rnacentral:rRNA from 1 species